rnacentral:piRNA from 1 species
UCUCAAUCACACUUCCCUCCUUUCAGAUGU